AGUGAACGCUGGCGGUAGGCCUAACACAUGCAAGUCGAACGGCAGCACAGUAAGAGCUUGCUCUUACGGGUGGCGGGUGGCGGACGGGUGAGGAAUACAUCGGAAUCUACUUUUUCGUGGGGGAUAACGUAGGGAAACUUACGCUAAUACCGCAUACGACCUACGGGUGAAAGCAGGGGAUCUUCGGACCUUGCGCGAUUGAAUGAGCCGAUGUCGGAUUAGCUAGUUGGCGGGGUAAAGGCCCAUCAAGGCGACGAUCCGUAGCUGGUCUGAGAGGAUCAUCAGCCACACUGGAACUGAGACACGGUCCAGACUCCUACGGGAGGCAGCAGUGGGGAAUAUUGGACAAUGGGCGCAAGCCUGAUCCAGCCAUACCGCGUGGGUGAAGAAGGCCUUCGGGUUGUAAAGCCCUUUUGUUGGGAAAGAAAAGCAGCAGGUUAAUACCCCGCUGUUCUGACGGUACCCAAAGAAUAAGCACCGGCUAACUUCGUG
rnacentral:rRNA from 1 species